CAAAGGAGUUCUUCUUUCCACAUAGUCAUGUGUGACUUCUUCUGGCCAAGGGUGGAGAGCAACAGCGGAGAGCUUGAGGAUGUCGUCCGAUCAGGCAGCCGAAGCGGCAGCCAGUUGGAACCGGCGGCCACCGCGGAGGAGGAGAUGGGUUUCCCUUUGUCGAGAAGCCUCGGUGUUGAAGAUCCUAAUCUUGUUCACCUGCCUCUCGAGUUCUUGGAUGUUGGGGGAGAGCAAGAUAGCUUGAACAGGCCUUGUGAUGACUUGCUGAGGGUUCUACAGAUCUCUCCCGGAAGGCCGUCACAGCAGCCGCUGCCGGUGGUGGUCAUGGCUGGUGCUCCAGUGGAUCACGGCGGUGGACUACUUGAGAUCUCCUCUCCUAUGGCUCAAGGGAUCAAAAGAAGGUCAUACUUAUUCUCGAUCGACAUCAAUAUCUUAUGGAUCAUUAAUUGCUUCUUGUCAAGUUUAAUCUCUUCGAUCGAUCACAUAUACAUUUCAUAGUUGUUGAAGCUAAUUACUAGCUAGCUAGGUUUAAGCACAUUGAAAUGGAGGUAGUUAGGGUUACUUCCUUUCUUGCUUAAUUGAUGGAUCUCAUUUCUCUUUUUCAUCUCGAGUUUAUAAAUUUGUUGCCAAAUUAUAGCAUCCAAUAAUACUCUUUUAGUGAUCUAUAGAUAUGUUGUUCUAAGUUAAGUAUACUUUGUGUUUGUGUUCGUGUUUUUGUUUGUAUGCUUGUUCAGAAAAAGUCAGGCCAAGAGGGUGGUUUGCAUUCCGGCACCAAUAGUGGCAGCGACCGGGCGACCAAGCGGUGAGGUUGUUCCUUCUGAUCUAUGGGCUUGGAGAAAGUAUGGCCAAAAACCUAUCAAGGGUUCUCCUUAUCCAAGGGGUUACUACAGGUGUAGUAGUUCCAAAGGAUGCUCGGCAAGGAAGCAAGUAGAGCGCAGCCGAACGGACCCUAACAUGUUGGUCAUCACCUACACCUCUGAGCACAACCACCCUUGGCCGACUCAUCGCAAUGCCUUUGCAGGAUCAACUCGAUGCCAUGCCCCCAAGAACCACCCUAAACCAACCCUAGAAGAACCGGUCGAAUGCGUAAAGCAAGAAGCACUACACAUUGAGUCGACCGAACACAAGGCAACGAUGGACCGAGCGGCCGAAGAAGAAGUCGACUUCGACCUAACCACCAACAAUCAGACGGCCGAUGAAUUGGCAGGGUUCAAGGGGGUCGGCCUAACGAGCCGAACCUUAGACAUCGAAGGGAAUUCAAGGGGGGACAAGAGCUUAAUGGACAUGUUUGACUGGUCAGAAGCUCUGGACUUGAACUGAGCAAUAAGAAAUACUGAUCUGAACAAAAAGAAACAGAAUGAAGAUUAUGAGAUGAGAUGAGAUGAGAGAGGGUUAAAGGAGUUGAGAUAGGGAGGAAUUGAGGCCUAACAAUUGUUUUUGGGGUUUGGAAUAUUUUGGGAUGGGACAGAAAGCUGAGGAACAGAAACCCUAAACAGUUGCACCAAGUACAACAUGCAUGCUCUGUGGAUGUGACUAGGAAUGCCUUAAAAUUUGUGCGUGAUAAGGUUUCACACUUUUCUUCUCCUUCUUUUCUCUCUCUUACUUAUUCCUCUAUCUCUUCCUUCUCUUCAUCUUUCUCUUCUUCUUCCUCUUCUAUAUUUAUGUUAAAUUUAAGUCUAAAAUGACAACGGUAUUAUAGAGACGAGCUGCCUUCUAGAUGAUUCGUACAA